rnacentral:rRNA from 1 species
UGGCGGCGACCGGCGCAAGGGUGCGUAACGCGUGAGCAAUCUGCCCGUAUCAGGGGGAUAAGCGAUGGAAACGUCGUCUAAUACCGCAUAACACAUUGGAUGGCAUCUCCGAUGUUUGAAAGCUUCGGUGGAUACGGAUGAGCUCGCGAGACAUUAGUUAGUUGGCGGGGUAACGGCCCACCAAGACCGCGAUGUCUAGGGGAACUGAGAGGUUGGUCCCCCACACUGGAACUGAGACACGGUCCAGACUCCUACGGGAGGCAGCAGUGAGGAAUAUUGGACAAUGGCCGGAAGGCUGAUCCAGCCAUGCCGCGUGAAGGAUAAGGUCCUAUGGAUUGUAAACUUCUUUUGAGUGGGAGCAAUAAGGGU